rnacentral:rRNA from 1 species
AUGUCCGGGCGCGGCAAGGGAGGCAAGGGGCUCGGCAAGGGCGGCGCCAAGCGCCACCGGAAGGUACUGCGCGACAACAUCCAGGGCAUCACCAAGCCGGCGAUCCGGCGGCUGGCGCGGAGGGGCGGCGUGAAGCGCAUCUCGGGGCUCAUCUACGAGGAGACCCGCGGCGUGCUCAAGAUCUUCCUCGAGAACGUCAUCCGCGACGCCGUCACCUACACCGAGCACGCCCGCCGCAAGACCGUCACCGCCAUGGACGUCGUCUACGCGCUCAAGCGCCAGGGCCGCACCCUCUACGGAUUCGGCGGCUAG